ACCGCGCCUGGGAAGCAUGAAAUAGACAUGGGGAAGGGAAGGUCUGCUGCACAGCGGGACAGUGGAAAGACCCGAGACAGACUAGUACUGAAACUCCUAACACACCCCGACCAGGAGCUCCAAGUUCGAAAAGGAGGUGAUUUCGGGUGUGGGGAAGGAUCCGGAAAAGCUGCAUGGAUGUGAGGCACCGAAAAAUGGGUAAGAGUUCCACAAGCAGAGACGGGCUGCCGGGAAGGACACGGAAGCCGAAACAGCUUAGGAAGCAAAGUGGGAAAUGCAAGAUGGCGGGCGGAACUGCAGUAGAGGCAGCACCGUGUAAUCAGAGCGGAGGGCUGAAGAAAGAGAUUCUCAAGGCUGGAAAAAUUUUGUGACUGUGUUCCUUCCCACAUGGAGCAUAAGGCCUGACACACAGUGGGGCUCAGUGAGAAGAGGUUUCAAGUGAAAGUGUCACCAGAUUGACCUCUGACCCCUACAAGAGGGAGGGAAGCCUUGUGAACUGACCAGGCUCCAUUCUUUUCUUCAUUCUCUGAAGAAAAUGGGCAACUCAGAAUCACAGUUUCCCCCACUAUAUGGACACAGAAGACUCAAACCACAAUCUGAGGGCACCAGAGUCCUGCAGACACAGUGAGGUCAUCCUUGAUCCUCCCUCCCUUCUCUAAGAUUAGAACCUAUUGAUCCAUGUCUGUAAAAAUUCAGUUUCUUUGUUUUUCUGUGCUGUCCAUAAGGAACUCUAGCAAGAAACAAAAGCUAAGGACUUCCUGGGGACCCACUUCCCACACAUUUGCUGUCUUACUGUCCCCACAGCUUAGCUCUCCUUUUGUCCUCCCCUUCAACCACCCCUGGGCCCCAAGGCACUCUGUGCUUUCCUGGGCUCACUCCUUUCAAUCUUGAUAUCAGGCAAAGCUCAGAUAUUCACAAUUCAGACUUCCUGGAUAGAAGAUGAUCUUAUUCUAUUUCAUUAUCUCUCACUCCAUCCUGGUGUGUGCUGUUGGAGGCUGGAAGUUCAGGAGGGAAGAAUAGAGAUUAUUCUCCUCUGUCUGUUUUAAGCCUCACCCAAAACCCAGGUCACAGACCUUCUUCCUCACCACACUCAUUCUUCACACUCACAUUCCAUAUUUCUCCAAUCUCGCACUAAUGGCACUUGAAAUAUUCUCUCCCUACAACCACUGACUCUUCCUUCCCUCUCUCCGUACUCUCCGGUGUAAUGAUUGAUAUUCUCAAUAGGCAAUAUUUCUCAAUUUUAAGUUAAUUUAUUUAUCAACUACUCAAGAAAAUAUAAAAUGGCCAGUGGACUCCCUCCAUAGCCUGAACAUGACCAAAGAGCCUGGGCAUGCCAAUAUAUACCCCUUGUGACCUCACCUCUUAGUCCCUCUCCAGGAUACUCCAAGACAUCUCUGAUUGAUAAAUAGCCACUUAGAAGGUAAACUUAGAGACCCCAAGGAGAGAUCAUUACUUCAUCACAGGAAGAGUGGGUCUUAAGGAUAUCGACAGGCCCUUUCCUCCCCACCUGAAGGCUGGGUCACUGCAGUACAAAAUGGCAGCUAGAGCUUGCCAACUUUAUUACCUAAUGUGACAGAGGCUGGCACUAAAGAAAAAGUGCCAGGCUGAAGAGUGUGUGAAAUUGAUCACCUUGAUGGGGGAGGGGGCCCCAAGGGAUUGGAAUCUUGAGGUGGAGAAGACUGGCUGGUAGAGGAAAGGCUCUCGGUCUUGAGACACUGAAGAGAGAAGGUAGGAAAAAGACUUUCUCCUGAGGGUUACCUACUUUUCCUGCUGGUGAAUGGAAAUCUUUCCCCCCAACACUUCCCAAUUGAAGGGACUUUAUGAAGAGAAACCUGAGCAGACUUUACCUCAGUUCCUGUUGCCCACACACUAAAAGAGUUCAUCUAAUCUCUCAAUCCUAUUAUCCUAUUAAGAUUUAAAUAAAAGAAGGGAGUACUCAACCCUAUUCAUAGACUGGGGGAGAAACUGUUUUAGCCUUAAAAUCAAACUGUUUUGGAGGUAAUAAAGAGGAAAUUAUUUCAUAAAGAUAUCACAAUCUAUAUUCAUUUCCCACACAAGACAGCAUCCCAAACCACCAAGCCAUGUAUAUUAUCCCUGAAGCUGCUUCUUGGCACCAAAAAAUUCUACCUAGAAAUGUAAACAUCUGCUCCUAUGGAAAUGCUCAUCAUUCAUUCCUGAUGAAAAGACUAGAGCUGGGUAGAAACUUGGACACACACAUAUAAAAAAUAAAAAUAACAAA